UUUUGAUGCAAAAAAAAAAAAAAAAAAGUUGAUUCAGUGAAAGGUUUUGAGUGGCUUUAGGUUGAGUGCCAGGAGACUAGUUUUAGUCAGGAAGGCAAUACCAAAGCACACUAGGCACUUCCCCCCAGACACGCGCACUCUUUAAAUCUUUUUUAAUGUUCCAUGUGAAAUAUAUGAUGGUAGUGCAAUAAAAAAAAAUCAGAGAUAGUAAAUAGGGAUGUUUUACAGGCAUUUUGUAUGACCUCACUACUUUUGAAAAACGUUUUUGUUCUGAAUUAAUAAUUCUGUAUUUUGAGUAUAUGGGGUUUUAUGCAUAUACACUUAUAUUUUUAAGGCCUGUUGUAUUUAUAGCAACUGUCUGUGUUUCUAUGCUGUUUUUCUCUCUGAUACACAAAAUUAGACACAGAUAAAUACUUUUUAUUCAUAAGAGAGAAAGGUAUUUUAAAUAAUCCCGGCAGCCAGACUGAGCUUAACUCUUUCAAUGAAACCGUUUCGGAAAAGUUGACAUUUCCUAAACCUUAUAAAAUCAUCUUAAAACUAUUAUGUAAAGGUCAGCAUUGUACAUGUGUUUCAGUUUAAUUAUUCUGGGGCUGGGCUAAUAAGAUAUUAAAAAGCAUAAUGAAUAGAAAAUCCAAUUUAAUAAAAUCUCACUUCCAAGUUGUUAGACUGCUAGAUUAUUUUAGUAGCACACAUGAGGUUAACAUUAUUGUAGAACUAUCAUGCUGCUGUUCCAUUCAUUCUUACUUUGAUUAACAUUAUAUUUUUAGUAAAAUACCUUAAAGUUCUGUAGAGUUUGGCAGAAUAUUUAUUUAAAUAUGCAUGACUAGCAUGAGAGGGCACAUCUCUGUAUUCCUUUCUGAAAGCAGUAAGGAAUUUGACUCUGUUUGAAUGAAGUCUACAUAAUUUGAAAGUAUUCCUUACAGUGGAAAGUUAGCUCAGAAUAUUUGAUCUAGGACUGUCAUUAUAAACAUGAGCACACUAACAUCAAACAAUAAAUGCUGCUAAAUUAUGAGAAAUAGAGACCUUUAUUGCUAUAGCAUGUUCCCUUUUUCUAAUUUAUCUUUCAUCUGGCUUUCGUUAAACCAGGAGGUCCUACAAACGUUUAAACUGAAAAACUCCGGAGGAAAAUUGGAAGUUAUUCAUAUAAUCCUGAUAUGAAAUACAAAUAGAGGGAUGUGACGGAGGAUGGAACAACAGAAAAGAUAGCUAAACUAAAAUAUACGAUGAAUACAUGGAUUAUAUUUAAAAUAACUUCUAAGUGUAAAAGGUCUAGCCCCUUUCUGUAGUACUUUGAUCAAUGAGAGUAGCAGGAAGAGUUGAUACAGAGUGUGGAACCAGACAUUAUGGAAAAACAGGAACAUGGAAGUAUCGAAGUCGUACAUGAAGUAUUUUGGAAGUGAUGGAUAUGCACUGUUUAGGAAAGACAAAAAAGGUGGUGGAAUAAUUUCAUGUUAAUACACUAAAAACUGUUAAGGGGUAAAGAUUGUUAAGCAAUGGAAGUUAAAUUUGAGGGUGAAAAUGAGAUAGUGUCUGCUUGAAUGAAAAUCAUCGAGCAAAGGGUAGAAAAAAGGCUUCAUGGCAAUGCAUUCCAGAAGGCCAACCGUAUCCUGGGCUACAUCAGUCUAGUCUACUGGUACAGAUUUGAUCUGGAUAAUAAUGCCUACAAAUUCGGGGAAAAAAGUAAAAAUUCAUAUGGUGUGAUCAUGCAAAUUUGUGUGAUUUCUCCCAAGCAAAUAUCAGAAAAAAAUUCAACCAAUGAUGCUGGGGUUGAUAUGAAUUUGAACAAGAUAUUUGACUAAGACGUUACGUCUAUGUAAUAGACAUUGAGCAAGCAAGAGGCAAGGAUAAUUUAGGCUUAAUUUCAGUAAAUGGCUGGAUCUGCAGAAAAAACUGAUGACAGAAGAUAAUCUUAAAUCUGGUGCUUUUGAGCUUUUCCACUUUAUGUGAAGUUGCAAGACAGAAAAUGUGGAGGAUCUGUAGCACAGUGCAGUGUUUCAGAAAGGCAAACCAAGAAACAAAAAAAUUUAGGGAGAUAGUUUUGAGGGAGAAGCACCACACUUAGAAUUCGGAUCAGGCAUGAUAUUACUUUAUGUAAAAAAAUGCAAACAGUAUUGAAUGUUUACACUGGGAGAGAGGGGAAGGAAAAAAAACCCCAAACAUCAGGGAUGAAAAGAAUUCCCAGAAGGUAAAAACUUUAAGCAAGUUAUUAAGGAUAAGCACAAAACUUAUAAUGAAUGGAAAAGAGUCCUUGAUUAGCAAUGAGAAAUCUGCAUCAAUAAUUAGAAGGUAUAAAAAGCAAAGAAAGAAUGGUGCGAAACCUUGUUAAACCAAAACUUGCACAGAAAACUGAAAUAUAGUAAAAAACUUAAGCCAUGUAAGUAAAAUAAGUGGGAUGGAUGUUAAAAGAUGGGGUCUUCCUUCUCCUGGUAGGACAGGCUGAGAGAGCUGGGGUUAUUCAGCCUGGAGAAGAGAAAGCUCUGGGGAGAUCUUAUUGUGAGGGAACCUACAGGAAAGAUGGAGACAGACUUUUUAGCAGAGCCUGUUGUGAUAGGACAAGGGGUAAAGUUUUUAAACUAAAAGAGGGUAGAUAAGGCUAGAUAUAAGGAAUGACAAUGAAGGUGGUGGAACACUGGAACAGGUUGCCCAGAUAGAUGAUAGAUGCCCCAUCCCUGGAAACAUUUAAGGUCAGGUUGGAUGGGGUUCUGAGCAACCCGACAUAGUUGCAGAUGUCCCUCCUCAUUGCAGGGGAGUUGUAUUGGAUGACCUUUAAAGGUCCCUGCCAAACCAAACUAUUGGAUGAUUUUGUGGUUCUGAUAGGUGGGACAGAAUUAAUACUAUUGUAAAUGAUGUGCUUUUUCAUAAGUCAUGAUUAUUAUGCAUGGAUUUAGUAAUACAUUCAGAGAAGAUCUAAAACAAAAUUUAAAGAUCAGAAAGAAACUAGGGUAAUUACAGUAUGGAAAAUGUGUCUACAAAAGAGUUUAUUUAAAAAAAAAAAAAGCAUACAAAGCCAAAUAGCUAUUAAAAGGGCACGUGAUUCCUUACAAAUGCAUUUAUAGUUAAAAACUGUAAAAAGGCAGACAGUGUUUGAACUAAACACUUACGUUGGCAUGCCAUCAAAUACUUAUGUAUUGACUAUAUUUUAACAUAUCAUAGAAAUGUGAAGAAAUUUAUUGACCAUCUGAGAAAUGAGAUACUGGAAAUGUCUUCCAAAUAGGUAACCAGGCCAAUAAACCAAAGUUGUUUUAAGACAGAACUUGAAAAGCUUACAGAAAGCAUUGUGCGAUUGAAUGGGACAGCUCCUGUUAGGAAAGUGACAUUUGUGCUGAGUUAGGAAGAAAAGAUCUUUUUGAACAAGAUGGAAUAUGGUUGUUCUACAUUUAUACUGUAUCUGUUUUCUGCCUCAGGGUUCACUGCAGGCUCUUAGGUCGGGAAGGAUGUUUUCUUCCCUUAUUGUAUAAUUUAGAUUCUGAAUCUGUUAAUUUCUUUCUUUCUUUUGUUUUCCUUUGUGAAGUGGGGCAUGUUUUAAUUCCUAAAACAUUCUGCAAGCAAUUUCUAACAUAUUUCCUUCUGUUGCAGGGGCCUCAGUAGACCAUUGGCGGUGCCCUUGUUCCUAUUCUUCCCGCCUUUUUUCUCUUUCCCAAGGACUAUUAGAGGUCUGGCUUUGGGUCUUUACUGCAAAAUUAAAGGGUUUGUUUCAGUACUGGAAAGUGUGUAGCACCAUCUGGAGUAAAAGUGCUGUAGACUAUUUUAUUUUAUUUUAUUUUAUUUUAUUUUAUUUUAUUUUAUUUUAUUUUAUUUUUUAUUUGUACUACAUAUCUAGUAUAUGGUAACCCACAACUCUGAGGAUGUAGAAAUUUAGAAUGUCUCUUCCAGCUCUGUCUUCCUGUGCUUCCUAUUACUACUUCUUAUGAAAAUCAUAUUCAACUCAGUUCCGUUCUCCCCAAAAUACUUGCUAAACUUUCAGCAUUCUCAAUAUGUCAUGUAAUGGAUUAAGUGACAUGUAGAAAAAAAAAUCUCUAAAAUUUCCUAAACUGUUCUGUCAUUAUACAUUAGAUCUGGCUUUUCAAUUCUCUUAUCUCCUUGCUUUACUUUUGUUUAUCAAAUAAUUAAAAUUAUAUUACAUCCAAUAUUCUAAUAUUAUGUAUCUAAAUCUACCCAUAAUAACUGAAAUACAAGGAUUCUGAUUUCAUGUGGGUCUGAACACUUCCUCUGGGGUGGCUUCUUGGUUUUUCUGUUGGAAAUUAUAGGAUAGAAUUUAUACAGAGAUUUAUACAUACUCUUACACACAGGGGUAACCCUAAGUUACAAAUCUAUUAUAUUUAUUCUUCUUUUCUUUCUGCUUUAAUUUUCCGACAGUAAGCAAAACAGAUUUAACAGGAGAAUCUCAGUGAAUUACCAGGUGUUUUCUGUCUUAAUAGUUAAAACAUUCAAUAGAAGGAGCUGGGUUAAAAUUCUUACUCCAGAUUAGAUAAUAGAAACUUUAAUAUGAUGAGUCUCCAAACAUAGAGGCUGACCUAUCUUUUUCCUUAGGUAUCCCAUGAGAAUUUCUAUUGAAGUAUUCCACACAAGAAAAACAAGCAAGGGAAGUCAGAAAUUGAAAAUCAGUGAUUGCAAAUUAGACUUCCAAGUGUCUCAGUAGUAGCUGCACUAAUGUGAUUUCUAAUGUCUGGGAAAAUAUUGCUUCCUAGUCAAAUGUUAAUGACAGUAAAAUUUACAGCAAGGAAUGUAGAUCCUUGAGGCACAUGAAGGUACCCAGCAAGAACUUAGUCUAUUUCAGUGGUUUCUGAAUACUGGAUCUAGAUCUAAACACUGUAAAUUAUAGGUAGGAGCAUCUAUAUAUUUUUUUAAACUUACCCCCAUCUGACUAUAAGUGGAUAACAGUUAGCGUUAUAUUUUAUCAUUCAAAUAAUUUUUCUUGAGAAUAAUCAGUUGUUCUACACUUUUGCAAGUGUUAUUUAAGAUAGCCUAUCUGCACACAUAGUAAUCUAUAAAAAUACCCCCCCCCCCCAAAACUAAAUUCUCAAGCUGAUUUCUAAAAACCAAAUCUAGUAAUUUGGAUUUCUACAUUGUGUAUUUAAACAUAUAUUUACAAAAUAUAAAACUGAUACAUGUUAGUUUCACAUAUAUAUAUGAAUGCAUUCACUUAACAUAGACUAGUCUGACUCUUAAUGAGACAGUUUGAUCUUUUUCUAAAUAAAUAUGAAGCUCUAUUUACAUAGUGGUAUUUAAAAAUUAAUCUAUUAUUUAACCAUUCUGCCUAAGAGGCAUUAUAACUGUGUUACGUUGUGUUAAAAAGAAGUCAGAAAUGUUUUGGGGUUUUUUGUUCUGUUUUUGGUUUGGUUUUUUUUUUUUAAGUACAUGGACUCACUCCAAUAAAAGCAGUGAAGCCUUACAAUGAACUGAAGUUCCAUGUUCUGGCUAUUCAGUGUGAUCUGGAUUUCAUACCACUGGUGACUCCAGAUCUUCUGACCGGGGAGUUUUCAUCAGCUACUGCCACUAGGUGUCCCUAUAUGCACCUGUGUGUAGGAAACUGCUUAUUGAAAAUAAUAACUGAAGGAGGAUAAAAAGAGAAAUUAUACAGAUGGAGUAGAAAACAUGGCAGUAAACUUUGUCAUUUUUAGGGAUUUGUUUGACAAAUUUCUUGCACCUUACUGAGAAGGAAAUAUUAAUAGAUUCAUGAUUGUACAGUUAGAUUUAAAAAUAAACUUUUAAAAACAAUGGAUAUUAAUGUAAUCUUAGAGUGGUCUUUUUGAUAUUGCAUAGUCAUACAUAUAUAACAGGAAAAAAAUCUUCUGAAAAAUAUGUUGGUUUAAGUUUUCUAUUUGGUAAAUUUGUCAUAAUUUUAAAAUUAUUCAUGCAGUUUGGUAUAAGAAUGGAUUUUCAGAUAGUAAACUUUUAAUUAAUUAUAUAUGUCUAAGAGUGAUGAAGAAACAUGUUUAUUGUGAUUAGCUUCUUCAAAACAUCCUGAUAAAUGGGAUGUUUGAAGAAUUAAAGGCCUUUGAUGGAUUGUACAGCCAUUUAACCCUUACAAUUAAUGUUUAAAUAGAUGACUAGUAAUAGAAAAUACUUUGGUUUAUGCCAUAAUUCUUUUCAUAAUCAAGUUUUUAUUAGUUGCUAUGCAAAUAUUCUCCUCGUGGGCUAGUUGUUUAAUCAAAGUCAGCAGCCAUUAUUACGUGAGAACUUUUACAAUUUUUAUUAUUGUUAUGAUUAUUUUUCUAAAGUAAAGGAAAAAUGCAAAGAGGUGUGAAGAUAUAUCCUUUCAGUUAGAAUAAGCAAGAUACUUGGGCAGACACCUCAGAGAAUUAAAAAGUUAUUUCCUGUAACAUCAAAACACGGCGUGUAGAACACUAAGAUGCAUGCACUGAUGUCUGGAAACUGGGAGUUCUUGACAGUGCCUUUUCUUCCUCAAUAUAUAGACCUUUACUUAAAAGCCAACCAAACAAACUUACUUUCAUCUUUUUAAAUAUUAUUCAAAACACGACCAUAGAAAAGCUGCUUUUCUGAACCUGCAAUAAGUAAUCCUGAAAUUAAUUCUGAUCCUACUUGUUUUGAAGUUGUAGGGAACAAUUACUCUCUUUUAGCAUCAUUAAACAUUUUACUGCUGGACAUUUAUAUCAUGCAUAGUCUAAGAAUUUGGUAUUAGGGAAAGAGGUUUUAUUUUAAAGUUAUUUACUAAUUUGUCAUAAGUUUGUUAGAAUGUCUCUACUGGUUUUAAGAGAGUCAUGGUCUUGGUGUAAGAUUUGAAUCCACAGUCUUUUUAGCCAAAGGCGAGGUAGUUACAAGUUCACUGCACUGAAAACUCACAAACUGAUGAAUGCAUUCAUGAACCAUAGCUUGUUGUUCUCUGUCAGCCUUGUCUGUUUCAUACUACUGGUUCUUCUUUGGAAGUAAAAUGACUGAAAGUCAAAGUGAAAGCAACUUGUAUCAAGACAGAUAUGAUAAUCUGAUAUUAAGUUUGGAUUUUCACUUGCCAAUUUUAAAUUAAAUUUAAUUUAAAUAUAUUUGGUCAGUUGACAAGACUGCUGUCAAUUCAAGAAAGAGAUGGGACAAUUUUUUUUACAAAAGUGAAAAUCAUUUUUUAAAGAUACUGUGGUGGUGUCCCAUAUUCUUUGAACCAUAGGCUGGGAGUAGGAUAGCUUGAGUAUCUUUAUUGAUUGCAUUUUUUAUGAUAGUACAUAAAAAGAUGAGUGAUAUGUAAGGACUGGCCUUUUGUUUCUUUACUCUGUUAGCUUACUAUUUAUUGUAACUGAUAAUAAAUUUAUAAUUUCUAUACACUAGGAAAUGGAAGGAGGAGGACUGCUGCUUUACUGUUCAAAAUGAAGGAAUAGAACAUGAUUUGUGAGCAAGGGCGUUUAAUCAUUUUUGUAGACCAGUGGAAAACACAAGUAAGAGAUUUCUUGUGAUUUGCUAUCAGUAAAAUAACUGAAUUGGAUGGGUGUUUUAUUAGUUUACCACUGAAUUUAUUAGUUUAAAAGAAAAAGGAUAAGGAUACAUGUAAUAAAAGUGUCUAUAUUGCAUAUAUUUUCUAUAUAAAGUAUACAGAUAUCUUGCAAGACAUUAAAAAUAUAAUACACCAAAUAAAAAGGGGGAAAAAAGUAAUAAUAACUGUAUGAUACACCGUAGUUAAUAUCAAAACACCCCACAAACAUUAUUUGUCUUAUUCUAUCACUAAUUAUAACAUGUCAAGCACCCUUUCAUAACCUCUGUUAAAGAGAAAUACAGUCUUCGGAGGAAAAAAAAUUGAUGAACAGUGUAUUUCUGCAUAGAAGUAGUAUGAAAUUUAUGAUUUCAUGUAGUUUCAGCUCUAGAUUUCUAUACAUGUCACUAUAGGACGUGUUCAUCCUCCUUAAGUAGAAAGCCACAUGGGAUUUCACUAUGUUUAUUGGUACUGUUGCGAUAACUGGAAGUUGCAAAUGGCUUCUGGAUUCUCCAUUAGAACUAUCUAACUAGAUAGUAUCAAUACAUAUUGUCAUAUUACAACCUGUGAUUUAGAGAAAAAUCAGUGGGAGUGAGAGUAUAAGUCCUAUUGAAAUCCAGUGGCAAGUGAAUAGUGCAAAGUUACUUAACGGUACUUGGCUACCUGGAAAUUUGCAGCCAAAGUUAGAAAAAGCAGAUGAAGGAGACACGAAAGGAAAUAUUAUCCCCAGGCUUCAUUUCAGGAACUGAAGCAAAGUGAGUUCACUUAACUGAAAUGUUGUAUAUGGAAUAUGGAAAGCUUUAUUGAAUGAAUUCAUUUCUCAGAACUCCCUCUGUAAUAUCUCAUCUGGAAAAUGAAUCUAACUCUUAAUAUAGUAAAAUGUUGAAAAAGUUUAAUGUCCUUUUAUGUCUUGCUUCAAUCCAUUUAUUUAAUGCAAAUAUAUUGUUGAAAUGAAUGGCAACAGAGAAGUUUAAUAAAUAAUAGUAUCAGUACGUAAAUCAUGAAUGCUGUCUUGCCUAAGAUAAACUUUAGUGCUUCGAAGCCUACGUAGGUUCUGCAAGCUUCAGGCUUUGUUAGGACUCUGUCUUCCUUUGCAAAAUGUUACCUGCUUCUGAAAUGCAUCUGUGGAGUGCUAAAUGAAAUUAAUUCUUUCCAGUUGAACAAUUUAUCAACUAUUGUAGGAAAGGCAAGAAAUAUUUUACUUGGCUUUAUAAAAUAAAACAUACUUUUAAAAGGCAGACAGGUAGUGUGUUUUGAAAUAGUCUUGCUAGGCAACCAUGCGCAGUGUCUAAAUCAGGGCCAAUUCAUCUUACUGUCCUAUAGGUAACAAUGUGACAUGGGCAUCUCCAAAGGCUGAUUUUGCUUAUAUGAUCUGAAAUCUAUUCUAAAUACAUGUCCCUCUCUAGUGAUCAUGGGGACAUAAUGCAUUUAGCUUGAUGCAUUUAGCUGAUACCUAGAAUCAAGUGGGCUUAAUGCAUAUUGGUGAAUGGUCAAUCAGUGUAUUAAAACCAGGGAUGCCUAAAUAUAACCACAAACGAGAUUAACAUUAAUUUAUGCUUCAUGUCAUCUGUAUUCUUAUUGAUCUGGGUGAGACUUUGGGGAAAUACAGUGCUACUCAUCACAAGGCAGAUACUGUAUCAAAAUUCGGUCUUUCAUUAGCAAAUGUGCUUUUAAAAUCUUAACAAUAAAGGAAAAAUCUUACGUUCUCUUUAAAAAAUAAUUCAUGUGGUUGCUAGCAAAUGCAGGUGAAAAUAUCUGAAUGACUAAAUUUAUUGUAUAUAGUUCUAUCUAUAAUAACAUGUAUUUUUCAUUUGGUAUUCUGUUAAAUUGAUGUGGAUGACCAUAUGGAUUGUGGAACAUUGCUGUUAGCAUUAAUGAUGUGAGAGCAGAUCUGUGUAGCCAGAAGUGGAGAUUUUUGUCUGUUUCCUUUUUUGCUGUUAUACAUGGAUUAAAAUGUCAUUUGGAUGCCAUAAUAAGCAAUCAAUUUCUUUGCUUUGUGCUUAUGUUUCCUUAGCAUAGCAAUUACUAUUUAGUCAACAAAUCAUGUUUAAUGAAAAGGGUUUUCUGUUAAUUCAUAUUUUCUUUCAUUUCAUUAUAUAUUACAUUGUUUUUAAUAAUAUUUUCAACCUGCAGUUUUUUGUUUGCAUACAGAUAAUAGAGGUCAAUGGUUAACCUCAACAUCCAAGAUAAAAUAGAGUAACUGUCUUUGUUAUGCUCAAAGUAUAAAAUAACAUUAAAAGCACCCAAAACACUAUUAUAAAACACACAUAGUUUAUUUUUUAUUUCAGCUUUUGACAAAAGCUGAUUUGAUUAACCUCCAUGUCCCAUAGGUAUCACUCCAAAUUCUUAGCUGAAGAAAUCUAGUACUAUUAUGAAUAACCUUCUGACCCUUGUAGAUACCACAAGCAUUUAAUUCCUAGUCAUUCAUCAUAUGCUGCUGCUGACAGCAUACGCUUUCAAAUAAAGACUUUAUUUUUAAAUGUCAUAUCAUUGCUAUUACUUAUGUAGAGUAAGAAAUAAUAAAGAUUUUCAUCUUGUGAAAAAAACUUCAUAUCAUGGAUUCAUGUUGCAUUAUCAUACAGCUGUUGAAUAGUAAAUUAAUAAUCUCUUAUGUUUAUUUAGCACAUACUAUUUAGAUGUUUUGGGUUCCCAACUCCAUUGGGUUUUGGUUUGUUUUUCUAAUCUUUAUUGAACUGCAGUUAUGAUUUUAAAAACUUUAUUAAUACUCUUAGAUUUUGAGGCAUAAGCAUAUUACUACAAUUCCUUUUUAUUUCAUUUUUCUAAUCCAAAUAUCUUUGCAUUUUCUUGCAGAAUGUCCUAAGUUACAUAAAUCUUUUUUCAUUCUGGACCAAAUUCUAACAAUAUUGGUAGUAUUUCCCUCCACUGAUACUAUUAGUCCAGAAAAAAAUCAAAGCCCCAGUAACAAAACCUUUGGGCAGAGUCUUCACUUUUCUUUUUGGUACUUCUCCAUUUCAAGUUCACAUUUUCACUCUUUCAAAGUAGUUGUAGUAGGUAACAUUCAUCCCAUAUCUUCCUAUUAUAAUAUUUCCUGCAUUUGUACUGGGUAAGAUUUAAACCUCAACUACUUAUAAGUUCUUCACUAACAAGUCUGUUUCUCUUUCUACAUUCUACCUUGCAGUAUGUGAUGUCAGUGGACAGUCGAACCAGUAAUACAGAACUUUUAAACUGUUCCAAGAGAAGGAAAAUAUUUUUUUUUCCCAAAUUAUUUUAUCAUUAUUUAUUAUACAAUUUUUUUUUCUUUUUUCCAGUAGGACUAAAAUUUGUGUUCCUGAAAUACACUCAUAAGAAAUAGAGAAGGUGUCAUACAGUUUUGCUAGUUUAGACAAACUAGCACCUGAGAAAAGGCAUCAUGUGGGGUUUAUUAUUAUCAUUUAUUAUUAUCAUAUUAUUAUCUCUUUUUUAAACAAAAUUUUAGUAAAAAUUUGUUGAUAACAAAUUUCAAAGUUAAAGCUUCAAUAAACUAAGAAAUACAUUAAAUAAUGACUUGAGUUAAACCUGUGGAUAAGUUCAGGGACUUACAUAUUGAAAGGGGACUGAGAUGUACUUCAGGUAAUCAAAAUAUAAUUCAAAACAGUUCAGCUCAGAAGAGCUCUUUUGUGACACCUAACCCCGAAGAGGCAAGAAAUCCCUCCUGUGGGAGACUAGCUGCUCUUACUGGAAAAAUUCAAGCACAGGUACUGGAGUCCGUUUUAACCAGGCUUAUUUGCUCUAGGCUGCCUCUACUUAAUGAUAAACAAGUGUUGAAAGCCUCCUUAAGAUCUGAGUCACCUUCUCAAGAUAGCCAUUUCUUUCAGUUGACUAUGUUCCUUUGUCCCUCAGGAAAAGUAGGGAUUAAAGAUAAUUUAAAGGCUCUUGUAAGUGCUGAAAACUAGAUGGGAGAAACUCAAGUUCCAUAACCUAUUUUUGGCAAUGCCAGAACUCACUAAAAAUGAGUAAGCAUUCAUGCUGCUUACCUCAGUUUCAGAAAUCAAGAGAAGCUGCUUACAUGAAAGGUCUACAGUAUUAUGUUAUGUUCUUUAAAGGUUAGUAAUGAGAAAUCUGAGUUUGAGGUUGUGACUGUGGGAAGUAUUUAAUCAUAAAACAGAUAAAUUAACAAAUCUGAGGGAGAAAAGAUUCUGAGGUAGACAAAAAUUAUGUUUGAUUGAGUCAGACUGAUAACAGAAAUUUUUAUUGUUAACCUGUAUAAAAAUGUUCCAUGAUGUGUUAUAAUUCAGUACAAGCCUGAUCGAGAGUUAAUUAGCGUUAUAUUCCCCCUUCACAUCUCCCAAAAGAAAAAUAGUGCACAUGAGAAAUUCAUACUUGGUUGAUAUUUCACUGAAUUUCACUUAAUUUUUAGAGUUGGAAGGGACCAUAGAGAUCAUCUAGUCCAACUCCCCUGCUGAAGCAGGAUUGCCUAGAGCUAGAGCACAUUACGCAGGACUGCAUCCCGGCGGGUCUUGAAAAUCUCCAAAGAAGGGGACUCCACGACCUCCCUGGGCAGCCUGUUCCAGGGCUCUGUCACCCUCACCGUGAAGUAGUUUUUCCUCAUAUUUGAGUGGAAAAUAUUGUAGGUCUUAAAACCAAGUCAUUAAUUCAAAUGUCUUCAUUUCUCUGCUGAGUUUUUUCCAGCACUAUUUUCUGACCUACUAACUUUUUGCAGACCAUUUGGUUUUGGAGCAUGGAGAAUCAGUAGCCAUCUCUUGUCAAGUACUUAACAAAGCACUUUAGCAUGAGUGACAUGCCAUACUUGCAUCAUCUACAUCCUAAUACCUACCUGAAAUCUACAAGAAAAGUCUUCCAAGAAUUCUCCCCUUGUCAUAUCCUUCAACACAUAUGCUCCAACAAGAAAGUUAUAGCCAUUAUAAUGUUUAUACCAGUUCAGAAAUGGAGGAAUAACUCCUCUUUCCAGCCUUAUCUUACUUAUCACAGCUACCUUGUCCUCAACUCUACCAUCAACAACUUAAUCAGAUAAUGGCACUUAUACUGAUACUGAUACCGAUACCAGAUAAUGACACUUGCUUAUAUUGAGGAUGUCGGAAAUGUCUAAUGUUAGGUUAGCUCUAUGGUUUUAUCAGUUAUAAAACUGUUUUUUUAAAAAGAAGUUAAAAACAACUGCCAUAUGAAGGCAUUGGCUUUAGUACCACCCCAUGGGAUUUUCAGUCUAAAUGCUAUAAGCUAAUAUCAAGGAGCUUUACCAGAAGAAUUCUGGGGCUUUUCUUUUUGAUAUCUUACAGUAUUCUGAAAACUGCUAACUGGGAUUUUACUUUCUUUCUUCUUGUUAUUCUGUUGCAGCUAGUCUGUUUAUUGUGGUAGUGUUCUGGUUUCUUUAUAAAACAUCUAAUAUGACUUGAUUCUGCCACAAAUCCUAUAUUUAUUUUAUUAUAUAAAAUAUAUUUUCUAUGCUUAAGUUAAUAUCUUGGGUGGUUUUUUUUUUUUUCAUUUAUUUUCCAUAUCUUUCCAGCUCCGUGUCUCUGAACACCAGUGUAAUUUGAUACCAAAUUAUUGGUUUUAUGGAUCAUUAAAAACAGAGUAUUUGGUUCAGCUGUCUCAAAUACAUCAUUCAAGGAACAUUCCAGGAAGAGUGUACCCCUCACAGCAUGUUAUUUUAUUGUAAAAUGUGGUGAGACUACACUUUUCAUACAGAAGUUCAGUGAUAAGAAAUCUUCACCAAGGAACUUGAUAACAUGAGUUUAAUGGUCUGUUCAUAUUGACAGGUUUCAAAACCACUUCUUUGCAGUCAGAGGAAGCUCUGAGCAUAGCAGACUAGGCUUUUAAAUUUUAAGAAGCCAUUUAUGGAUCUAAACAUUUAAUAUUUUUACUCUGUUUCAUUUGGCUUGUUUACACAUCCUUUUUUCAUUUAUAGUAGUCAGUUAAUAAUCUUUCAAAUGAUCUAAGCAGCCUUAGCCUGGCAUUCCAAUCCAGGAAUGACUUUUCAGUAACUGACUGUAGUAUUCAAUUUGUUCAUACAGUAGUUUGGCAUGACCUUUUCAAACUCUAAAUGAACAACAGCGGGGUUACUUUUUCAGUGAUUUAAAUUAACCAGUAUAAAAAGAGCUGUAUGGAGCUGCAAUGCUUAGCAUAGUAGUUACCAAUGUUGGCGAGAUACUCCACACGCUGACAACACUUUUUAAAAAAGUUAUAGUUUCCUUUGGUGACUUUUCCACUAAAGAUGUGAAAUGACUCAAUCACUGAAGGUCAGUGCUUACAGUUACAUUUUCAAGUUUAAAAAUAUAUUUGUAAGCAGCAUAGAGUUUACAAAGACCUAGAAAAGAUAACUUUGCAGUCAAAGGAAAAAUCCUCCUCAGUUCUGCAGAAUAGAAUGUGCAGAUAUUAUUUUCUUUCCUUCCACCCCACAUGCCUAUCUUAUUUUUUCAGUGGAGAAUAAAUGGUUCUAAUUACCAGACUCUUGAAUAUUCUCAUGUAAAUAGAAACCAGUUCCAGAGACUCUAAAGAUUAAUGUGAGAUGAACUUUGAGAUCCGGAUGAAGUCUACUGUGUGGUAUUACAUGUUUCCUGCUGAUCAUUUUCUUUGCAAGAUGCUCUCCAUUAAAAUGAAAAAAUACAUAAAUGCACCAGACUGUAAUUGCCAAAACUUUCAACUGAAUAAGACUUCAGAAUUCAGUUUCACAGCAUGGAAUUUUUUACUCCUCUGUGAAUUAACUUUGUGAUGAUGAUAAUUCAGUUCUUUGAAAUCAUCAAGAUAACACAUACUGAAAAAUUCUGAAUCCAUUCUGGGACACCUACUACCUGCUGAAAAAUGCUGAAAUAGAGUCUUUUCUUAAUGGAUUGCACUAAAGCAGGACAAUUUUAAUUCUUAAAUGCAUUUUUUCUGGUGUAUACUCUCCUAUUCUCUUUCAGUAUUUUCUGUAUUGCAGAUACAAGAAAGUAACAAUACAAGGUCAAAUACAUACACUUGCUUUUGCUUCAUAUAGCCUAUGGUCAUAUUAUAUUUCGAAGGCAGUACUGAAUCUGCUUUUCCCAAAGAUUUUUAAGGUCAGUCUCACACCUGAAUAAGGUUCUUCCCCACUGAAAGCUGAUACAGCUGCGUGAUAAGGGAGGAAAAUGCUUGCAGUAUCAGUCCAAGAGAAACAUGAAGAGGAGUGGCUCUGCAGAUGGGAGAAUGGAUACGAAGAUCCUAGAGAUGUAACUUUCCUAGGUACUACUGUCUCUUUUUUGGUGUGUGCCUUGCUACCUGAUACUAAUACGUCUUUCCUCACUCAUCUGCCUUCUUUAAGAUGCUACACAACUACAGAGGAAAAGUGAUCACAUAGUUCCCCAAGACACAGUGGCUGCAUUUGCUCUUUUCCUACAUGCAGGGCUCAACUUCACUCCCAAAUUCUCUGCUUCCUUCCCCCAAGUGGUGCAGAGGGAUGGGGAUUGGGGAUUGCAGUCAGUUCAUCACAUGCUGUCUUCUGCCACUCCUUCCUCCUCGCUUUCUUCCCCUGCUCCAGGAUGGGGUCACACCCGCGGGAAACAGUCCUCCAUGAGCUUCUCCAGAGUGGGUCCUUCACAUGGGCUGCAGUUCUUCAAAAAAUGCUCCAGCAUAGGUCCUUUCCACAGGGCCACAGUUCCUGCUAUGAGCUUGCUCCUCUGCUCCUCAGGCUUCCCACAAGGCCACAGCCUCCUUCGGAUAUAUCCACCUGCUCCUGCAUAGGGUCCUCCAUGGGCUGCUCCAUCAUUAACCUCCAUGGGCUGCAGGGGGACAGCCUGCCUCAGCAUGGUCUUCAACAUGGGCUGCAAGAAAAUCUCUGUACUGGCACCUGCAGCACCUCCUCCCCCUCCCUCUUCAUGGACCUUGGUGUCUGCAUAGUAGUAUCUCUCACAUGUUCUCACUCCUCCUCACUCUUCUGACUGCUGCUGCCCGGCAGCUUUUUUCCUGCUUUUUAAGUAUGUUGUCACAGAGGUAUUACCACCAUCAUUAACGGGCUUAGCCUUGGCCAGUGGUGGUCUGUCUCGGAGCUGACUGGCAUUGGUUCUAUGGAACACGGGGAAAGCUUCUGGCAUCUUCUCACAAAAGCCACCCCUGUAGCCCCCUUGCUAUCAAAAUCUUGCCAUGCAAACCCAAUACAGUAUGUAAAAAAGGCUAUCUAUGAAAUGCAAAUGUGCCAUGGGAGAAGUAUAUUUUUUAGUCUGCAACAUAUCACUUCUGCAGGACCCAGUUCUACCUGCUCUGGAAAUACCUGCGCAAGAACUCUAAUAAUGUCUAAUGAAAUAAGCUUUUAUUUCCAGCAGUACCCUUCCUGCACAUUGACAAAAAUGACCUGUAUUUUAGGGGUUGUUUAGGCAACAGAAAAUUUCCUUGCCUGUUUCAUGAAGUUCCUACAAUAAUUCUCCAAACUUCCCAGCUGAGCUAGGUGUGUGAAUUCACUUACUGUUGCUAGAGAAGAACUAGCUCUAGAUAGUUCUUCUCUAGUAAUGUAAACGCAGUUCAUCUCAUCCUAAAAUACAUCAGAUAAGGUGAUUACACCCUAUUUCCCAAUGGAGACAAACCAUUCCUCUUUAUAUUAAUCACAAAGGGAACCAAGGUGGACCAUAUCACAAAGCCUAUAUAUACAUUGAAGACACUUAAAUUUUAGUGAGAUAAUUCCUAUGCAAAGAAUAAAUUCCUCAUUUUCGUAUUUUUUGCUGGAGAUUAUCAGGAUUGUGAUUGAUGAUACUGCUGCUUCAUAGCUACCAUGUUCUCCAUAUUGUAGCUCAGGUAUUGACCCUUCUUCUUCAGUCUUUUUGCCUUUUUGUUGGCAAUAGCUUUAGUUAAACAUGCUUUAGCCAUAUGCUUUCACUCCUUCUAUAAUCCAGUUGAAGGAUGAUAUAAAGAACAGAUUUGCUGUUCUUCAAUGAAUUCCCUAAAAAGGAGAAAAAUUUACAUGUGCUACUUCUUCCUGUUCUAUGUAAUAUUUAUAGUGAAGUUCUAAGUGUUGUUCUUUGUUUAAAAUGUAAAAUGUUUUUCUCUAUUGUAACAGUAUAAAUAAAUGUUCUACUUUGUUCAUGAACAUGAAAACCUUAAGGAAAUCCCUUAUAUUUAUGGUUCUAAUCUUUGUUUAAAUACUUUAUUUAUUUAUUCUUUGAUAAAGCAUAUCCAUCUGGUUU